GACGAACGCUGGCGGCGUGCUUAACACAUGCAAGUCGAACGGAAAGGCCCUGCUUGCAGGGUGCUCGAGUGGCGAACGGGUGAGUAACACGUGGGUGAUCUGCCCCUUACUUUGGGAUAAGCCUGGGAAACUGGGUCUAAUACUGGAUAGGACCAUGCUGUAGGUGGUGUGGUGGAAAGAUUAGUUUCGGUAAGGGAUGAGCUCGCGGCCUAUCAGCUUGUUGGUGGGGUAAUGGCCUACCAAGGCGUCGACGGGUAGCCGGCCUGAGAGGGUGGACGGCCACAUUGGGACUGAGAUACGGCCCAGACUCCUACGGGAGGCAGCAGUGGGGAAUAUUGCACAAUGGGCGCAAGCCUGAUGCAGCGACGCCGCGUGGGGGAUGACGGCCUUCGGGUUGUAAACUCCUUUCAGCCAUGAAGAAGCCCUUGUGGUGACGGUAGUGGUAGAAGAAGCACCGGCUAACUACGUG
rnacentral:rRNA from 1 species